CCAAUUGCCAGAACGAGCAACAAAUCUGCUGACGACGUCACAAGCUUGUGCUACAGCGAUCACAAUUGCUGUCGUUUGCUGUUGCUCACGUUGCACGGACACACUGCUGCCCGCUCUUAACAACACUCGAACAGAGAGUUUGUGUAUUGCCUUUGCCGCCACCAAACGUACGAGUGUGUUGGUCGUUGUUGUCGCUUUCUGCUUGCACGCUGUCGUCAAAAACCGUUGCUGUUGCCGUCGUCUCUUCGUUAUAUUAUAUUAUUAUUAUUACUGUUGUUAUUUGCGACGACGACGUUACCGCCGACACCACUAAGUGCGCGCAGUGCACAGAUUUUGUACGUGAACGCGGAAAUAUUUCUUUCUUCAGCGUUGGUUGUGGCGUGAACGCUAAAAAUCAUUAAAUAUUAUUAAAUAUAAUUGUAAAGAAAAGUGCAAGGAAAUUGAAAAUAGUUGAUAAAUUAACAAAAGUGUUGUAAUUUCCGUGGCGUAUUGUUGCAAUGAUUUUCGCGAAGGUGUUGAAGUGCGCCGGCAAUGUUGGGUUAGCUCAGUGCACAAGGUGUGCGCAUCGUUAUUGCCGAAGUGGAUUAACGGCAUAAAGUCAACAUCGCUAGUGUAUGCCUGUGUGUGUUAAUAUGUUUGCUUAGUGCAUUAACAAGCUAGAAACGCUUUGGACAAAACGGUACCAGCGGCAGUCAGCUGACACAUUUCGUGGUCACUUUGUAGCGUCAUUUGGGCUGCAAAUGCAUGCAUGUAAGUUGUGGAAUUUUCCAAUGCAAAUUUAAAUGCGUUAAAAUAGUGAAUAAUUAAGCAAAGAGUGAGCUUACAAUUGUAAAUGGAAUGUAAAAGUGAGUGGCUGUGAAUAUUUGCGAAAAAAUAAAAGAAAUUUAUAUAAAGUGAAAAAUAUCAAACGAAAAAUUGUAAGCCGAAACGUGAAAAUUUGUAAGCAAGAAAAUUUGCGGAAGUGUGAAAAAAUGGAGUACGAAAGUUUGUAAAACAGAAAUUUCGAUACUUGUGCGUUUAUAAUAAUGGUUGGAAAGCCUUAAAAUUUGUAACAAAUAAGCGAAUAAAGCGCAAACAAAUUUUUUAGUAAAGUUCAAGUGCAGUAACGGGCAACAGAGCAACAAACAGUGUGUGCAGCUAAGGUGUAGCGGAAGAAUUUGUGCAUGUUAUAACACGUUGCAAUUUGCAUUGUAACAAACAAAUUGUGGUUUCAAAGUAAAAUAAAUAACUAAAACAAAAUUUAAAUACAAAUAAUGAUAAAAUUUGCUUAAAAAAGAUGGGAGAACCUGACGUGUGUGUAGUAGAUGUUGUAUGAAAAGCAAAAAGUGCACAUAAAUGAACUAAAAAAUCACCAGAAAAUGCAAAUACAUAUAUAAAAACCGAAACAAAAAGUUGAAGAAUAAUGCAAAACUUUAAUUUUGAAAAUAACUAAGUCAUGAAAAAAGUUUUUAACAAAUUUCUGUAGCGCGGCUGGUUUUCGGUUGAAAUAUUAAAUUAAAUGUUGCACAAAUAAACUUACAUAACGGUUAUCAAAGCGCUAUUUGGAAAAAAGUUUUAUAGCAUAACUUAUUCAAAAUAUGGGAAUUAAUUAAUAUUAAAAAUUAAAAUACAUGCAAAAUAUUGCUGAAAAUGUUUGAAGUUAUUAAGUUACACACAUGAUAUUAAGCGAAAUUUCCCAAUAAAUAAUGUAAACUGCAGUGAGCUAAGAAAAGUUGUGAAUUGGAAAUUUAUGCUACCGAGAAAGCCAUGCAUGAAUACUAUGAACAUUUAAAAAUGUAAAUUGCACAAGAAAACAAGCGUGAAAAAAAUAAAAAGUCGAACCCUAAACGAUUUUCGGCACCAUAAAUGCACAUUUUCUAAGUUUAGAAAAAUUUGUGGAAACAAAAUUACAAAGAAAAUUGAUAAAUAAGAGAAAUAAGAGCUCACAGAUAUCAGAAAAGCAGUGAAAUAAUUUUAAGAAAUUUCAAAAGCGACAAAAAAUUAGAAAACUUGUCAUCGGAAGCAACUUACGUGAAUACAAAAAUAAGAAAAGUGAGAAAGUGUACUUAAUAUUUGCAAUAAAGUGUAUUUAAAAAUAAUUACGUUAGAUAACUCCAAACAUUACAACAAAAAAUAUCGAAAAUAAAUAAAAAAAAUAUUUAAAACAAGAAAUUUGACUCCAUAUAACUUUGUGUUAUAUUUAAUUUUUUCCAAAAAAAAAAACAAUCCAAAAAUUUUGGCACACGAAAGUAAGUGUACGAGAUUCUUUAAUGAAAAUUAAUUAAGCAAAUAACGCAUAAAAAAUUGCAACUAAAUGCGCCGAAGAAAGAAAAUAUUUUUCAAACCGUUUGUGAAAAUUUUUCAAAAUCUCCGUCAAAAUGGAGAAAACUAAGCCUAACAAAAAUAAAGUGCACUGUGCAGCAAAUAUGAGGAAAACUUCUGACAGAAAUAGUGUGGAAAUUGAAAAAAUAUAUACAAAAUAAAGAAAAUAUAUGCAAAUCUUCAAUAAUUUUAUAACAAUAACUUAAUUCAAAAGCAAUAGUGUAAAAAUUUUGUGCUUUAAUUCAAAAACAAAUAAAAUAAAAAUUUGUGCGUAAAGAAAGAAAAUACCAUUCAUUGUUUUAAAAAGUAAAACCUGCAAUUGUCGCUCUCCAAAGUACGGGAAAUUUUCAGAAAAUUUUGUUUGCAAUAAAAUUAUAAAGUUUAUUCAACCAAAUAAACCACUGUAUACACCAGCAAAUGUAAAUACAAUUGGAUUGUGGGGAUUAUCAGUGUAAUUAACGAGCAUAAAUAAGUGUUUAUACAACUUUAUCAGCUGGUGAAACAUUUUUCCGUGAUUGGAUUACUCUCCGAGAAGUGACAGAAUAAAAAUUAAAGAGAACAUAAUAAAAAAUCCCAAUAUCGCCUCAAUUGAAAGUGAUUUAUUAGUGUGUAAAUGUAAAUACAAGUAUAUAGUACAUACAUACAUAUAUACAAAAAAUAUAAAUAAGAAAAUUAAAUAAAAUAUAAUUUAAGAAAAAAUUGUAAAUUGCAACGCCACGAUACCCAAUUGUGUUCAAAUCUCGCACUAAAACAAAAAGUAUUUAUAAUUAAAAGUGUUUCUAAAAUAUAUAUGUAUUUACAUAAGCAAUUAAUAUUAAAGCAUAUAAAAAAUAAAAAAUAGUGUUAAAAAGUGUAUAAAUUAAAGUUAAAACAAAAAUUAAAUUUACAACGAUGAAAAAAUAAAAAUGAAUUAAUGAAGAGAGUGUCAAUACAAAUAUACCGAGAAAACCCGAAAGCUGCAUCUUGAAAACGAUAAAAAACGAAGUCAAACGUUAAAGGAAAUUUGCAUAAAAUCAACGAAAAAUCAAUUAAAUGCAAAAAAUUGUCACUAAUUAAUAAAAAAUAACACAUGAAGUGUAUAAAUGCAAUAAGAAGUGUAUGCAAAUUAUAAAAUGAGCUCAUAAAGAGCGUGAGCGUUUCGUGCAAAGCCGCAAGUGUGCUGAGCUUGAGAGCGAAUUAAGCACAGUUCUUUGCUUAUCACAAAUUUUUACGAUAUAACGAAAAUUUGAAGAUAUUAACAGCAAAGAAUUUCAUUUUAUUCGUCAUAAUUUUUACAACAACAAAAAGCAGUGAUAAAAGUGUUUCAACCAAAAUAAAUAUAUAUCCAUAUAAAAUAUAAAAAUAUGGCAUUUAAGUGCAAGUGUGUGUGUGUGUUGCAGUGCUGUUUCUUUGUUCAAUCAUCAAUUUCGAUGAGUUGCUCGCGUAAAAAUCUUAAUUAAACACAAAGCAAAUUUAAUUCAACGAAAAAUGAUGAAUUCUACUGAAGAUGCUGUUUGCGGAUGAACAAACGAGUUUUCCAUACAACUUGAAACAAUUGGCAAACACUCAUCACCACAACAAUAACAACAACUCGUCGUACGGUAGGUAGUCGCUGCAAUUUUGUUGACGCCACUUCAACGCCACCAGCAAAUCACUCAACGGCAGCAAUACUGAAUAGGCGCACAGCAGUGCUAAGAAAAGCGCCAGCGACACAAAUUGCCGCAACAAAAACAAAAGCAAAGCAGUUUACAGAAAAUGAAAAACAACAACUAAGUGUAGACGAAGCGACUGCAAUACACAUAAACCGCGUCGCAGUAACAACAACAGCAACAAUAAGAACUAUAUACAUAACAACAACAUAAACGACAAGAAAAGCAGGAAAACUGACC